GCGGACCGACGGRAGCUUGCUCCCUUAGGUCAGCGGCGGRCGGGUGAGUAACACGUGGGUAACCUGCCUGUAAGACUGGGAUAAYUCCGGGAAACCGGGGYUAAUACCGGAUGCUUGAUUGAACCSCAKGGUUCAAUCAUAAAAGGUGGCUUUUAGCUACCACUURCAGAUGGACCCGCGGCGCAUUAGCUAGUUGGUGAGGUAACGGCUCACCAAGGCGACGAUGCGUAGCCGACCUGAGAGGGUGAUCGGCCACACUGGGACUGAGACACGGCCCAGACUCCUACGGGAGGCAGCAGUAGGGAAUCUNCCGCAAUGGACGAAAGUCUGACGGAGCAACGCCGCGUGAGUGAUGAAGGUUUUCGGAUCGUAAAACUCUGUUGUUAGGGAAGA
rnacentral:rRNA from 1 species